AUUGAACGCUGGCGGCAUGCCUUACACAUGCCAGUCGAACGGCAGCACGGGUGCUUGCCCCUGGUGGCGAGUGGCGAACGGGUGAGUAAUACAUCGGAACAUGUCCUGUAGUGGGGGAUAGCCCGGCGAAAGCCGGAUUAAUACCGCAUACGAUCUACGGAUGAAAGCGGGGGACCUUCGGGCCUCGCGCUAUAGGGUUGGCCGAUGGCUGAUUAGCUAGUUGGUGGGGUAAAGGCCUACCAAGGCGACGAUCAGUAGCUGGUCUGAGAGGACGACCAGCCAAACUGGGACUGGAGCAAGGGCCAGACUCCUAAGGGAGGGAGCAGGUGGGAAUUUUUGGACAAGGGCGAAAGCCUGGAUCAAGAAAGGCGGGUGGGUGGAGAAGGGCUUCGGGGUGGAAAACCCCUUUGGUCGGGAAGAAAAUCUUUGGCCCUAAUCCGGCCGGGGAAGACGGGAACCGAAGAAAAAGGCACGGCUAACUACGUG
rnacentral:rRNA from 1 species